AGUCACUUUUGGUUUCCAGGAUUUUGGUAGGCUUCUAAGCAGUCUCUUAACUAAUUCAUGUUCAGGGAUAGGCUUGCCUAGCUGACUCAAUUUAUUUGUGAUGUUUGUAAACCUAUCAAACAUGCUGGUGAUGUCUUCACCAUGCUUCAAUUUGAACAUUUCAUAACUAUGUGUUAAGAGAGCAAUUUUGGACUCCUUGACUUGGGAAGUC
rnacentral:lncRNA from 1 species